rnacentral:rRNA from 1 species
UGCCAGCAGCCGCGGUAAUACGUAGGGAGCAAACGUUGUCCGGAUUUACUGGGCGUAAAGCGCACGUAGGCGGAUUAGUAAGUUAGGGGUGAAAUCCCGGGGCUCAACCCCGGAACUGCCUCUAAUACUGCUAGUCUUGAGUUCGGGAGAGGUGAGUGGAAUUCCGAGUGUAGAGGUGAAAUUCGUAGAUAUUCGGAGGAACACCAGUGGCGAAGGCGGCUCACUGGCUCGAUACUGACGCUGAGGUGCGAAAGCGUGGGGAGCAAACAGGAUUAGAUA